UAGUUGUUUAAUCGUGUGUACGCUGUGCCGAGAGAAAUUGUGGUGCAUUUUGUAUGCAUUGAGAAUCACAAAACCCCUGGGACCGCGUAAUUUAGCCCGCAGUAUCCUUCGUGUGGUGCGCCGAUGUCGAAUAUUGUAGAUAUGACCCUCUUUGUUCCGGGCUCAUGAAAAGGAGCUCCUCCUCUGGCAAUCUCGCAUCGUAUCACACUCCACGGAAGAAUUUGGUGAAAGUUGUGCUCUUACGUCCUGUAGUUGAUCCGCAAUUCAACAGUGUGUGCGCCGGAAGGACCGUCGGUGCACUCGACGCCGCUGACACUAAAAGGAGCGUUUUCCGAGUACGCCUAGAAAGGGAUGGCAAGAUUUUGUGAACCAGAGGCCCCUCCACAUAUGCACCUGCGGCACUUCUGCAGCCUCAACAGCACGGCAAAGUACCUGAUCUGAUGUGCAUGCUGUGACAAGCUGCUAUAGGUAUGGCUGGACCUGGAGAAGAAGUGUAAGCAGACCAUGCUAUGUUGCUGAUCUGCGCUGAUCUCCACAUCCAAGUUGGUCCCGCGACAGUUGGGCACCACUGUGCCUUGCUUCACUGACAAGGUGAUAUAAUAUGGUGCCCUGCUCGCUCUCACCCAAGCAACACAUUCCAGCGGUCUUCUCUCGGCAGACUAGAUGCAUCGAAAUGCCGUUAGAAGGUCCAAUUAACAGUUCUUGGGACAUUUAUGACAUGCUUUUACUUAAGCCGGAGGACUUCAGGCUUAAUGAAAGCUCAAGUGGGUGUACAGAAAUACCUACGUAAAGUCUUUUUCACUUACAAGUGCAUGCCAAUACUUUGCCUGACAUUUUUCACCCCGAAAUUACGCUUUACUGUGGAUUUGUGACCAAACCAUUACAGCAAAAAGCACUGCAGUAAGACGAGUACAAGUAAUCAAACAUGUACUAAACUUGCAAGAAUUACAUUUGCAUACUUGUAGUAAAUAUGAAAAUGAGGUACAGUCUUCUUCAGGGUGCAUUUUCUUGUAGGUCAUACAUAGAGAACGUACUAGUGGGUCACACAAAACUUGUUCAUGAUGUAUUACAUCAGUGUUGGUAGUGCUAAUCAAUUUAUGCCGAAAAUUUUGUUCAUCUUCGUAUCAAGCAAUGUGCCAGGCAAACCUACAUGUGAAAGUGGCAUUCUUGUUGCAAACAUAAUGCAGACCUACUUCUCUUCAACGCUGAUCACAAAUACACAAGUGUACAAAAUAGGUUUAAAGAGUAAAUUAUAUUAAGCAACAUCAAUCCAUUCUGAAAGGACCUGGUAUGAAUGUAGCAAAAAAUAGGUCUGAACAGGGGCAAACAGGUCUGGGUUAGAUAGGACAGGAUUAAACGGGUCAGGAUUAAACAGGAUUUAAACGGGUCAGGUUUAAACAGGAUUUAAACAGGUCAGGACUGAACAGGAUCAAACGGGGUCCCGUUCCAUAACCCUAUUUGAUGAAACCCAUUUGAAAACAAGUAGGAUUUUCUAGUAGGCGCGCUGUUCCCCUUCACAACGAACGACAGGGCGUAUCCGACCGUCUAAUUCUGAGAUUGGUUUGAAACAACACGGCAAAAUUUGUGCCAUUUAUUCAUUUCAAAACAAGCAUGAACAUGCGAUAAUGUUGGCAGAUCCGCGUGGGCAGCCUGAGUAUGCGUGGUCCGUCAGUGUCAGUUUUGACAGAAGGUGCCGCAAGAGGCGCUGACAAUCACUGCUCGGAUGCGCCGCCUGGGCAGUGUCAGGAGCGUAUAGCUAUGCACGCGGAGAAAUCUAACCUGCGUACUCGCGGAGAUGCUAUACGGUCGCACUUUGCACUUUCCGGACGGUGUCGUUUAUGCGUGCUUGGCUUUGGAAUAGUUCAGGUAUCUGCCUCAAGUGAGACAGUUGUGGUGUCCAUGGCAAGCAGUGUGAAAAACAAACAGACAAGAAACAUUGCGCUUUGAAGGCGACAUGGAGCUUCCUUUUUGUCAGUAGUAUUGUCAGCGUCUGCUUUGCGCAUGUCAUCCUAUAAGGUGCGUGUCAUCCUAUAAGGUGGUGCGUGGCGGCGGAAUCAAUGGAUAAUAGCGACAGCGUGGAUGUAAAGCCAACAGCGACGUUUUCAUGGAUAGCUCAAACGGUGACAACUUAUGAACUGAUGAAUUAAUGGGUGGAAUGGCUCAUUUUGGGGUUUCACUAUAACAACCUUUUAGAAUAAUGAACGGUUUUUGGCAGUCCUGUGUGAUUCAUUAUAUUGAUAUACUAGGAAUGUGUCUCGCACUGCUACAUUACUAUGAAUCCGAAGCCGCAAGCUAAAGCGAGUCAUUCGUAUAUGUGCAGAGUUUAAUGUCAAUAACGCUGUCUGCGUAUUGCUUAAGUUCCACCCACCCCCCCACUGACGGCACCAUUGAAGUCUUGUAAAAACAGCGACCACAAAUCCCGUAGGCGAUGCCUGUUGUGCUGUAAAAGUAAGUAAUAGUACAUUUUGUGUAGUUUGUGAAAUAGUUCGACCAUUUUUACGGUUUGUUCAAUACGUAACACUUAUAUCAGCAUGUUGCUUUUGAACUAUGCCUUUUACGAAACUGCUGUCUUGGGCUUUUCGCAAUGUUAGAGAUGGGCAAAACGGCUCAAUUCAGUGAGCGGCUCGGAACGGCUCAGCUCUAUGAAAUGAACCAGUUCAUUUGAACGGCUUGCCGUUUCACUUAAAUCUGCAACCUUUCAUUCUUUCCUUUCUUCAGCACACAUGCGGUACUGGUGAUCAUGCCAUCAUGCGCCAGGACAAAAAAAAAGAACGAAUGAAGUCUCAUUACAACACCACAGAUCAUUGGUCUCAUUUUAUUGAUGUGCUAAUAAUACAGGCUCAGAAAAUGCACAAAAGUUGAUGACAUGGGUGACAUUCUCAUGACUAAUUUGGACAAAUGAAGACCAAGACAUAAACUGUAUGUUCACCUGUUGUCUUUAAAGACACAAAAGAUUUCGUCUUCAAAGUGUUGUUGGACCAGCACAUGAUGCCCGAUCGGUGAGAGUCACGAGAUAUUAUUUGAACAGCAGCAGGCAACGAAUGGCACCAUCCUUUGCCAAUUAAGGCUUCUUCUCCCUUUGGUUGCAUCGAGUGCCACACUAUAGGAUGCACAUAAAACCAAAGAGACUGCCGUGCACACCGCAUACAGGGAACGAGUACGAGUAGCACGAGACUACCCAUGCAGGCCACCACUCGUCGGCAAGAAAACGAAACCAUGAAACCCAGCAGAAACCCGGCUCUGACAGAACGGUUUGGCAUGGCUCACUGAAUGCAGGAACCGGCUUUCUCUCUCCAAAAGAACCACCACUCACUUUUACUGAACCAUGGCUCACUUGUUCUUUAAGAAGAGCGGCUCAAAAGACAGCCAAAGGCAAGGGGGUAGUUGCGACUCUUGCAAGGAACGGUGGAAGCGCAGCUGCUUGCUCGCAGAGCUAAUAGAGGGUGCGGAAGUUUCACACAGAAGAAGACCUCGCUCUGACUGAACAAUUCGGCACGACUCACUCAGAGAGAACCAGCAUCCUCUCUCCAAAAGCACCAUCGCUCACUCACUCUUUAAAAAGAGCGGCUCAAAUGAUCCAGCUCACUCCUGAGCGAACCAUCUCUAUUCCUAAUCCUUCAUGGUAAAUGAAACGUGAUAUCAAUAUGGUGUACUGGAAUCCAUAUCAAUGCCAACAGUUGUGAGCUUAACGAGGAAAAAUCAGAUUACAAUUCUUUGAGAAGCUUGCUGAUUGACUCGCCACCCACACCACAGCUCUAUUUCAAGAAACAAUAGAGUGAGACUGCCUUCACAGCGGCUUAAGGCAGCUUGGUAGCUGCGCAAUCAUGAGACAUGCAAGAGAGUACGCAGCUGGCUAAUCCAUCAGCAAACUAUGUGACACGAACAGUCGUUCUGGUAAAAAACACCAUGCGAAAGUGACUUGUAUUGGCUUGUUGCCACACUUGUUACACUGCUUUUAAUGAAAAAUACCAGUGUGAGAUGUAUGGGAUCUUUUUUAGGCUGCAGGAUCUUUUUUACAACACACAGAACUUUAUUGAUUGCCUGUGGUAGAUAGCGCAAUUCCAAUUCUUGAACUAGAUUACUCAGAGGCAAGCAUUACCAGCAUAAGUCAAAAUUUAUAAUCAAGUAAUUAACAAAAUUUCACUGAGAAAGUUUUCCGCUAAUUACUUAGCGCCAUAUAUUGCAAUUUACUAAUUGUAGCCGACAAAUUUACAAGGCAUAUAAUCUUGGCACAAGUUCUGAGAAUGACACCAGUUUUCAGAUAUAUGCCAUCAAACUUGCAGUAAAAGAUGCACUAAUAUUCCACUUACUUUUUUAACAAGAUGUCAUUUCAUGCAUCAAAGCACAAAAGUAACUGCACCGCGAAUUAAUUUCGUCACCUGCUUUAGGAAUGAACAUCUCAACACCGGUGUCAUACUGAGAAUUUGUUCCGAGUGAAUAUGCCUUGGGAGCUUGCAUAGUUUUUUUUAUAAUGCAAAAAACCUAAUUUGCAAGUUUUUAAGUGCUGUCAUACUAGUAAAAUCAAAGGAGAAGGCCGGAUAACUUGUUUGCUAGAAAUGUGUCAUAUAUCAGCAAUGCUAAAGCAUGGAACACGACAUGGAAUAGAUGGUAGAGAGACUGGACAUUAAAGAGGUUAACAGAAUCAGGCAGCCCAGUGCAAAGAGAGACUGCACAUUAAAUAGGUUAACAGAAUCGGGCAGCCCAGUGCAAUGACAUAGCUCGGAGUAAUAGGUAAACAAAUUUUCACAUUCUGUGUACCAGGCAGCCUCUAGGAUAACAAAUUUCUUUUUUUGAGAGCAGUUGAAUGGGUACCCACCCACUCUAUUUUGUUGAUUACAGGCUUCAAAUAAUAACCUACAUUUAUCUAAAUUACAAUGGCCAAUCGUACUUGUGCCGCAAAAAACUUGUGCACAGUCACAUCCACUGAAUUGAUUUCCAGGGCGUGCUGAUCCAACAGGAUACUGCAACUGCAUGUGGUGUUCCCUCAGGCAGUAAUUGAGCAAAUGUAACAGGCCUAUGCAAUAUCUGCUGCAUGACUAAGCUAUAUAUCAUAUACUAACUCUUGUUUUGCAGACGGGUAAAUGUGUAAUGCAGGUUAAUCUUGAAAGCAGCAUUUUUGUUGGUGGUGCAUCAUUUACCCGAUUGCACAUUCAUGCCACAUCGUCCAACCUAUAAAACAUCACUUGCAUGCUCUACUUUCAAGCCAUUUGGUUCAGGAGGUCAGAAAGCUGGUGGAAAAAUGACACAACACCUGGCCAUCUAUCUGGUUGAUGUUUCAUACCUUCCUUACUGCAUACACGACUUACUUUCCCAUUUUACCCUAUAGGCAACCAGCGGCUCGUUAGGACAAAAAGAAGAAAUCCUGCAAGAAGCAGCGACCGUUGUUGAAACCUUCGCUCGCAGCAGCGGAAUGAGCUGCACUCCCGAUAAAUCAGAACUUAUCAGGAUAUGAGGUCGAGGCCGUCAAACUCACGAGCCGGUGAACCUCUUUCUAGGAGACAGCCAGAUAAAGGAGGUCCAGAAAAUGCGAGUCCUCGGACUGUGGCUGCAAAGCAACAAACGAGUAGACCACACCAUUAAAACCCUUAGGACUACGGUGAAACAGAUCUCCCGUAUGAUCCGUAGAGUAACUUAUCACCAAAAAGGUUUCAAGGAAACAGAGACGAUCCGGCUCGUUCAGGCUUUUGUGCUAAGUCGUCUCACAUAUAGCCUCCCUUUCCAGGACCCCACGAAAACAGAACUAAAGGCCCUAGAUGCGCUGAUUAGAACGUCGUACAAAGCGGCUCUCGGCCUACCACAGGGAACCUCUACUGAACGCCCCCUCGGGAUUCACAAUAAAUACGAGGAGCUACGGGCAGCGGAGCUACGGGCAGCGACGCUCAUAUCUCAACGGGAGCGGCUUAGCUUAACCUCCUCUGGCAGAAAAUUACUUUGCUGUGUGGGUUACCCUACUUGUCCACAGUAUGCGGGAGAACUCGAAUCUCUGCCCAGUGUCCUUCGUGAAAGGAUCAUAGUAGCCCCAAUCCCUAAGAACAUGAGUCCAAAAUACCACCGGGGACGUAGAAGUGCUCGAGCUCUAACGUUAAUGCAGCAAUUCAAUGGAAACCCGGAUACAGUCUACACAGAUGUCGCUCGAUGUGGUGCUUACAAAUACGCCCUCGCAGUGGUAGGAGCGGCUGCAAAUCAAGGGCUUGUGAUUUGCCCCACGGCUAGAGUUGCAUCUGCGAAUACCGCAGAAGCUUCAGCCAUCGCACUAGUUAUUAAAACUAAGGACGCUCUGGGACAAUCGUCGAUAACUCUUACAGAUUGCCAAGUCGCAUGUAGACUAUUCCUCACCGGGAGGCUACCACACAGCACCACUCACCUAUUAGGAUCCAACCUAACGCAGAAACACAUGAUCAUCUGGUGCCCGUGUCACGCAGGACUCGAGGGCAAUGAGAGAGCGGACGGCGCAGCUCGUGCUUUUGUCAACCGAGCGGCCGACCACUCUGACAAAAACCCCUUUUUACCACGAGACAUCCUUGAGCACCAGUGGCGCGAGCGAAGAAAGUACAGUCCACCCCACCCUGACCUAUCCAGGCAGGACGACUCUUAUGACUGGCGCCGAAUACAGACGCACACAUUUCCAAACCGUUAUUUGAAAAAUGCCAUUCACCCAACGCUGUACAGCGUUCGCUGUCCUUGGUGCGGAGGCCGGCCAACUCUCGCCCACAUUACGUGGGACUGCCACAACAGGCCACCCAAAAUUAAUACACCAAAAAUAGCCGGCAAACUUUCCGGAAGGGAGCAGUGGGAGACUUGGCUCGCCAGCGAGGAUUGGGAGAUGCAACUAGCGCUCCUCGACCAAGCAUGGCGGACCGCUCAAGCCAGUGGGGCCCUGGACUAGGGGCUCCACCCACUCGCUUUCUGAAUUUUUUUUUCUUUUAAAUAAACGUUUUGAUAUAUAUACUUUCACUGAUGCACCGAGGCAAGGGAUCACGGGAAACAUGCCCGUCUUAAGUGCUGCACAUGCAUUGCUACAACAGUUUGAUGCGUAGAAGUUUUGAGACCACAAGGUAGGCAAUUUACAGCAAUGCCCUGCCUCACCAGUUUCAAGUGAACAGAAUCGUACCUGAAUAAAUUUUUUUUUAAUCAGGUUGCUACCCCAGCAGACACCAUCGUUGUUAAGUGGGAGACCAGUCUUAAGAAAAUGGUCAAGUCCACAUGCACCAUCUCGUGCAUUAGCAGCUGCAUAUUAAAAGGCUGUGUUAGCAGUCUUAACUGAAUUAGGAGUUCUGGUGAGUCACUGCAAGAAAUGUAUGUGCAACUUUUGUCAACACUUCUUUUCGGAGUCAACAUUCAGGAAACUACUGAUUACGGCUUGAUGUCUUCUACACAAAAAAAUAUGUAUCCCACUCUUUCAGUGUCUUCUUUAUUAUAAUCACAACAAGUGGAGCUCUGUUGCCUUGUUUAGAUACUGUGUGUUAUGCAUGAGUGAAUGUUUACAUUGCUGUUGUACAGCACUGCCUGAUUGUAUUUCAGCAAACCGGUUGAUGUUCAUUGCAUGCCCCCUCUACUUCCAUGUUGCGUUCCCCUUCUAUCACAAAAAAACAUGCUGUACAUGUCAAAAAUGUUUGCAGAGGAGCAAAAAUAAAAGCAAAUGUGAUGGUAUCAUUAGGAAAAUUAUGUUGAUUGUUAGUAACACGUACAUGUUAACACCACCUAUCAAGCUGCAAGCUAUCUUCACUUGAUACCUAGAAGCAGUUUCUAAGAGUGCAGCGUGUAACUGAAGAGACUAAAAUUGCCAAUUUGCUCAAAGCCCUUUCUGCACAACUGUGUUCCAUGCACUGAAGAAAUGCGACAAGCAGUCCAUAACUACGGAAUACAAUUGUGCCAGGAUAUAAUACUCUUCACUUUUACCCUAAAUGUUUUUUCCCUAAAACUUCACAUAUUACACUUUCACUACACUACACUCUAAAUAAUCCAGUACAAAAACAGCACUCUAAGGUCAUUAGUGAGGCCCAUUUACUUUCUUUGUCCAUAAAGUGAGCACAAAUGAAUUACCGAACAGUGCAAUCAAUUAUGUAGCACGAAAGCAAGGUUAUUAUUUUCUGUGCUUGUCAGAGAACGAUUUUUGUAAUAGCCCACAUCACUCCCAAGUAAAUACUAUUGUAAAGUCACAUUUGUGUGAUUUAAUGUGCUGUGCAAUGACUGAUAACUGUGACCAAAUUUGGUUCUGCAGCUGCAUGUCGGAAGUGUGAUGACACCAAGCUGAGAGAAAGUGAAAAAAAAAAUUAUGCAGAUCCGACUCACAUGUUGGAACCUGAGAAACGAACCUUUCGUGACGUGGGUGAAUAAAUUCUGUGCAAUUGCUUACAUUCUGCAGUAUUUUGCACCAUAGCGAUUACCUGCCUGCCAGUAAAGGCAGCAAGAGGCGGAGACCCCCCCCAUGUUCCCCGCAUUAUACUGCCUUCAUGAUUGGCCCCCUGUGCUAUGACACAGCAUUCAAGGUCGGCGCACCGAUUAGAGCGGACAGAUCCUUGAGUGCAGCAGCAAACUAACUUUACUCAGUGAAAUACCAACCAGUCAGAUGUGCCAAACCCUAUGGAAGUAGGCAUAGAAAGGUUGGCUUUAUUAAAGGAAUAGUGCUCUUUACGUAUAGUAUUUAUUACAAUGGGGAUAUUUCGGUAUAAUCUGUUUCAUCUCUGAGUAAUUCCAUAGAAAACAAGGCCAGCAGCAAGGACACCUGUAGGAGUAAUAAAGGUCGUGGGACUAUCAUGGUGGUCCUAAACGUAUUCUUUUUGAGGAGACUGAUGACGCUACCUAUUUGCAUCUUCUUUUCCUGCCCGUGCCAUGAC